rnacentral:antisense_RNA from 1 species
CUUGGCGUUCGGCUUGUUCUUCAUGAUGCCAUUACCCACCGCGUGAAGAAGGUGGGUUUUGCCCAGGCCAGUACCGCCAUA